rnacentral:rRNA from 1 species
AACGAACGCUGGCGGCAUGCCUAACACAUGCAAGUCGAACGAGACCUUCGGGCCUAGUGGCGCACGUGUGCGUAACGCGUGGGAACCUGCCCUUAGGUUAGGAAUAACUCCCCGAAAGGGGUGCUAAUAACGGAUAAUGUCAUAGGACCAAAGAUUUAGCGCUUUUGGAUGGGCCCGCGUUGGAUUAGGGAGUUGGUAGGGUAAAAGCCUACCAAGGCGACGAUCCAUAGCUGGUCUGAGAGGAUGAUCAGCCACACUGGGACUGAGACACGGCCCAGACUCCUACGGGAGGCAGCAGUGGGGAAUAUUGGACAAUGGGCGAAAGCCUGAUCCAGCAAUGCCGCGUGAGUGAUGAAGGCCUUAGGGUUGUAAAGCUCUUUUACCCGGGAUGAUAAUGACAGUACCGGGAGAAUAAGCUCCGGCUAACUCCGUG